CCAACGGCCCUCUUUAGGGCCACCACUUUAAAUUUACUUUUUUUU
rfam:Strongyloides venezuelensis genome assembly, scaffold: SVE_scaffold0000004